GACAGAGGCCCCGAGCGUUAGGCGGAAUCACUGGGCUUAAAGCGUGUGUAGGCGGGCCCGUAAGUGUCUUGUGAAAUCCCACGGCUCAACCGUGGAACUGCUGGGCAUACUGCGGGUCUUGGGCCAACUAGGGGCAGCCGGAAUAAGCGGUGGAGCGGUGAAAUGCGUAGAUAUCGCUUGGAACGCCGAAGGUGAAAACAGGCUGCUGGGGUUGCGCCGACGCUGAGACACGAAAGCCAGGGGAGCAAACGGG
rnacentral:rRNA from 1 species